rnacentral:misc_RNA from 1 species
CUUUUCUGCACAUUUUCAGAAUGUCUUCUUCUUCUUCUCUUUGUUCAAACUCUGUAUUUUCUUAUAGAAACAACUUCUCAAUUUUUCAAUCCAAAAAUGUUCUUCUUCCUCCAAUUUCUAGUACCAAUAAUUUCAGUUUUUCAAUCAAAAAACACUACUACUCCACAUUUAUCCGGUGUUCGAUUUCGAAUCGUCGACCGGAAUAUGUACCCAGUAAAAUCUCCGACCCGAAAUACGUUCGCAUAUUCGAUACUACUCUUCGUGACGGUGAGCAAUCUCCAGG